UGUUUGCACUUAGCGGGAAGGGUAAGAACCUUAGACUAAGGUUCGACUCGAGCGCCAGCGAGAGAACGUUGCCAUAGGCAACGGCCCGAAGGACGAGGAGCGAUAGCGACGAGUUAUCCUUCCCCCACCACCA
rnacentral:sRNA from 1 species